rnacentral:rRNA from 1 species
GACGAACGCUGGCGGCGUGCUUAACACAUGCAAGUCGAACGGAAAGGCCCUGCUUUUGUGGGGUGCUCGAGUGGCGAACGGGUGAGUAACACGUGAGUAACCUGCCCUUGACUUUGGGAUAACUUCAGGAAACUGGGGCUAAUACCGGAUAGGAGCUCCUGCUGCAUGGUGGGGGUUGGAAAGUUUCGGCGGUUGGGGAUGGACUCGCGGCUUAUCAGCUUGUUGGUGGGGUGGUGGCUUACCAAGGCUUUGACGGGUAGCCGGCCUGAGAGGGUGACCGGCAGAAGUGGGGAGGAGGAAAGGACGAGACGCAGCGGGGAGGAGGAAGUGGGGAGGGGUGAACAAGGGGCGGGAGCGUGAAGCAGCAAGGCGGCGUGAGGAAGAAGGGGCUACGGGAGGGAAAAAGCAAUCGCCGGGGACGAAGCGGGAGUAACGGUAAGUAAUAAAGAAAAAACGGCAAACUACAUG